GAUGAACGCCGGCGGUGUGCCUAAUACAUGCAAGUCGAGCGCACUGGCCCAACUGAUAUGACGUGCUUGCACUGAAUUGACGUUGGAUUCCCAGUGAGCGGCGGACGGGUGAGUAACACGUGGGCAACCUGCCCUGAAGCGGGGGAUAACAUCUGGAAACAGGUGCUAAUACCGCAUAACAACGAAAACCGCAUGGUUUUCGUUUCAAAGAUGGCUUCGGCUAUCACUUCAGGAUGGGCCCGCGGUGCAUUAGCUAGUUGGUAAGGUAACGGCUUACCAAGGCGAUGAUGCAUAGCCGAGUUGAGAGACUGAUCGGCCACAAUGGAACUGAGACACGGUCCAUACUCCUACGGGAGGCAGCAGUAGGGAAUCUUCCACAAUGGGCGCAAGCCUGAUGGAGCAACACCGCGUGAGUGAAGAAGGGUUUCGGCUCGUAAAGCUCUGUUGUUGGAGAAGAACGUACGUGAGAGU
rnacentral:rRNA from 2 species